rnacentral:rRNA from 1 species
AGAGUUUGAUCCUGGCUCAGAUUGAACGCUGGCGGCAUGCCUUACACAUGCAAGUCGAACGGCAGCACGGGAGCAAUCCUGGUGGCGAGUGGCGAACGGGUGAGUAAUAUAUCGGAACGUGCCCAGUAGUGGGGGAUAGCCCGGCGAAAGCCGGAUUAAUACCGCAUGAGACCUGAGGGUGAAAGCGGGGGAUCGCAAGACCUCGCGCUAUUGGAGCGGCCGAUAUCAGAUUAGCUAGUUGGUGGGGUAAAGGCCUACCAAGGCAACGAUCUGUAGUUGGUCUGAGAGGACGACCAGCCACACUGGGACUGAGACACGGCCCAGACUCCUACGGGAGGCAGCAGUGGGGAAUUUUGGACAAUGGGCGCAAGCCUGAUCCAGCAAUGCCGCGUGCAGGAAGAAGGCCUUCGGGUUGUAAACUGCUUUUGUCAGGGAAGAAAUCCUCUGGGUUA